rnacentral:rRNA from 1 species
CUUGAUUUAUUAUAGGAGGUCCAGCCUGCCCAGUGACCAUGUUCAACGGCCGCGGUAUCCUAACCGUGCGAAGGUAGCGUAAUCACUUGUUCUUUAAAUGUGGACUAGUAUGAAUGGCAUCACGAAGGUUAUACUGUCUCCUUUUUCUAAUCAGUGAAACUAAUCUCCCCGUGAAGAAGCGUGGAUAAAAUUAUAAGACGAGAAGACCCUAUGGAGCUUUAAACAAUACAGCACUUACCUAAUAAUCUUAAAUGUUUCCGUAACACUAACUCUUUUGAGUAAGAUGACUGCAAGUUUUUGGUUGGGGUGACCACGGAGUAUAUCAUAACCUCCAUGUUGAAAGAAUUUUUCUAAGCCAAGAAUAACCAAUCUAAGCAUUAACAAAUUAACAUCUAUUGACCCAAUAAAUUUGAUCAACGAAC